rnacentral:rRNA from 1 species
ACGGAGGGGGCAAGCGUUAUUCGGAAUUACUGGGCGUAAAGCGCGCGCAGGUGGUGCGAUAAGUGGCAGGUGAAAUCCCUCGGCUUAACCGGGGAACGGCCUGCCAAACUGUCGCGCUUGAGGCUGGGAGGGGAGAGCGGAAUUCCUGGUGUAGCGGUGAAAUGCGUAGAUACUGGGAGGAACACCAGUGGCGAAGGCGGCUCACUGGGCUGGUUCUGACACUGAUGCGCGAAAGCGUGGGUAGCAAACAG